UACGUAGGGGGCAAGCGUUGUCCGGAUUUAUUGGGCGUAAAGAGCGUGUAGGCGGCUAGGUAGGUCCGUUGUGAAAACUCGAGGCUCAACCUCGAGCUGUCGAUGGAAACCAUCUGGCUAGAGUCCGGAAGAGGAGAGUGGAAUUCCUGGUGUAGCGGUGAAAUGCGCAGAUAUCAGGAAGAACACCCGUGGCGAAGGCGGCUCGCUGGGACGUAACUGACGCUGAGACGCGAAAGCGUGGGGAGCAAACAGG
rnacentral:rRNA from 1 species